GGGUCCCUGUGCCUGCCUGCCCUAAAGGAUCCAAACUCUAAGGAUGAUGCUUGGCGUCCCACGAUGGCCCACCAGCUCUACAUCCCAAAUUGUCAGAGUUCACAUUGCUAAACCCAAACUACCUGCCCCCGUGACACCAUCUGAAUUUAGCACCAUUACCACCACCAGCAGCCCAGGAUAAAGAUCAUAUUUCCGGCCUCUGCAGCUACCUGGCCAUGACACCAACCUCCAACGAGGCAGAUAUAAGGAUGGAAGUUGGAGUCUCUCCUGGUGACUUCCGGUAACAGCUUUUGUGCCUUUUUCCCUAGAACGUCCUCCCCGCCUCCUUCCUGGAUCCAUCGAUUGAAACAUAGCCCUGGGCAUGGAACCACACAAGAUAAGGCACCAAAGUAAAACAGAGUAAAACGCUGUGCCAUGCAGAAUCAGCCCCACGCUUCCUAUUUCCACAUUUCCAAAAUAAAGAGGAAAAUGAAAUUGUCUUGCGGCCAAACUUGUGGCUACUUGACGGUUUUCUGUUACGACUAAGCCAAACUCAUUUCUAGCCAAUAUAGAGGCUAAAGAGCCAAGGGGUCAGGGGUGGGAAUCGUCUCCAGGAGGAUGAACAGGAAGGCCUCCAAGAGGGUGGACAUUUGAACAGAACAAAAGGAGGGAGAAGCCAUACCAGAGUGUGGGCAAGGAAGGGUACCCCAGGCGGAACUCACUCCCUGUCACCCAAGCUGGAAACCCAAGCCUUGUCCCCAGGCACCUCCUGUUCUAUGGGCUGUGUCUCACCUGCCACCAAACCCAUUCAGAACAAAAGAAGUCAACUGGACCACACACCUUCCCAGUCUCACCUCUCUGGAUGCCUUCUGCAGUCUGGCCCACAAAGGGUUAAACUGCCCCCUCAGAAGAGCUUCGUGAAGGAACCAGAGGCCUUGUUUGGAAAACUGAUCUUGUGGAUUCUUUUAGUUCUAUAAGUGUGUGGUACUUUGUUAGACAAUCCUUAAAGGGGAGGUUUCCUCUUGAGGAGAUGGUCUGACUCCGUAGCCCAGAUUGGGCUUGAACUCAUAACCUUCCUCCUGGGCCUCUGAGGACUGGGGGCUCUGUGAAGGUAUGUUUUAUUGAGAUGUAAACUCGCAUACUCCAUAAUUCAGCCAGCCGAUUUUGUCACUGUGAUUCACAUGUAUGACUGUUUUGCCUGCAUGUGCACAGCGUGUAUACAGAGCUUGGAGAGGCCAGACAAAGGCUUUGGGUCUCCUAGACCUGGAGUUACAGAGAGUUUCUGAGUCACCAUGUGGUACUCUGCAAGAGCAACAAGUGUUUGUACCUCAUGAUGAGUCUCUCCCCAGCCCUUGUUUAGUUGUUUUAAGAUUUAUUUGUGUGUGUGUGUGUGUGUGUGUGUAUGUGUGUGUGUGUGUGUGUGUGUGUGUGUGUGUGUGUGUGUGUGUGUUUAGGGACUUGAAGGUUGCCCAGGCUAGCUUCAAACCCUUGGACUCAAGGGAUCUCCCUACUUUAGCCUCCAAAUAGCUGGGACUAGAGGCAGGCAGCAUAGCACAGCUAAUUCAUCAAUGAUUUGCCAUACAAUCUCUGAGCGAGAAGCUCCUCACCAUGGUCGACCUUAGAAUAUUUCCUCUCCCUCUCUUUCUGGUAGCUAUCAGCUUGCAAAUUUCUUUAUGUAUGGGUUGUCGACAGAUAUGUGUUAGGUCCAUAUCUUUGCCUAUUUAUAUUUAUAUAGAUGGAACAAUACAAUAUAUGGUCUUUCAUGAUUGUCUUCUCUCACUGGACAUAAUUUUAAGGCUUAUCUCUGUCACAUGUAUCUGAACUUUGUUGUUUUAUUGCCAAAUAAUAUUCUACUGUGUGGACAUACCACAACUUAUUUGUCCUUUCGAGAACAGAUGAAUAUUUGGCUUUUUUCGGCUUUGGAGAGUUAAAUUAAUUUUUGAUAUACCUACCAUAAUAAAAUGCUAUAGACUGGGUGAUUUAACAACAUAAA